UGUAGGAAUCAGUCCCAGGCAGGACAGAGCAUGGACAUGAAGGUCCCGACUCAGCUUCUCAGCCUCCUGCUGCUGUGGCUCCCAGGAGCCAAAUGUGACAUCCAGAUGACCCAGUCUCCAUCCUCUCGGUCUGCAUCAGUGGGAGACAGAGUCACCAUCACUUGCCGGGCCAGUCAGAGCAUUAACAAUUAUUUAAGCUGGUAUCAACAGAAACCCGGGACAGCUCCUAAGCUCCUGAUCUAUUAUGCAUCCAGUUUGCAAACCGGUGUCCCUUCGAGGUUCAGUGGCCAAGGAUCUGGGACAGAUUUCACUCUCACCAUCAGCAGCCUACAGCCUGAAGAUGCUGCAACUUAUUACUGUCAACAGUAUCAGAGUUACCCUCUCACAGUGUUAUAAGCCUGAACAUAAACCACGAAGCACACAGCUAAGAGUCGGCCACCCCAGCUGCUCCUCUUCGGUCUCCAUCCGCCGAGAGCAUUUCUCAGAUGCACCCACUCUUUGAUGGUGACUGGAGGUUUUGUUAGAAGUGUACAGAUAGGCUCCUCUGCACCUUAACUCUUUUUGUCUCUCCUCAGCCUCAGUAGCACAUACAAUACCUCUCUUGAUUUCAUAAAAAACAGAGAUCAUCACACAUUAGCUAUCUGGGCUACAGUACCAGUCAGAGUUUAUAGAGUGAAAGAGAAGCCAAUCUAGGCAUUCCAAGCAGGAAUUGCUUAAUUAGGGAGUUAACCUCUAAAGUACAUUGUUUUGAAGGCCUAGGGAAUUAAUAAUAGGGGGAGCAGAUAUUGGAAAUGUGGGAUUCCCUGGCGCUCC